rnacentral:rRNA from 1 species
CCUACGGGUGGCUGCAGUGGGGAAUAUUGGACAAUGGGGGCAACCCUGAUCCAGCCACGCCGCGUGUGUGAAGAAGGCCCUCGGGUUGUAAAGCACUUUCAGUGAGGAAGAACGCCUGGUGGUUAAUACCCAUCAGGAAAGACAUCACUCACAGAAGAAGCACCGGCUAACUCCGUGCCAGCAGCCGCGGUAAUACGGAGGGUGCGAGCGUUAAUCGGAAUUACUGGGCGUAAAGCGCGCGUAGGUGGCUUGAUAAGCCGGUUGUGAAAGCCCCGGGCUCAACCUGGGAACGGCAUCCGGAACUGUCAAGCUAGAGUGCAGGAGAGGAAGGUAGAAUUCCCGGUGUAGCGGUGAAAUGCGUAGAGAUCGGGAGGAAUACCAGUGGCGAAGGCGGCCUUCUGGACUGACACUGACACUGAGGUGCGAAAGCGUGGGUAGCAAACAGGAUUAGAUACCCGUGUAGUC